CGAGAGAGUUUCAACGUGAGGCACAGGAGACCUGAGCGGACUUACGCCAAACCACAAAGUUCUCCUGUUGUCAAAGCUGCAGCUUUAAGAACUCCAUACCUUAAAAUCGAAGACUCCAGC